rnacentral:rRNA from 1 species
GGCCGGGCGACGGUUGUCCCGGUUUAAGCGUGUAGGCUGGUUUUCCAGGCAAAUCCGGAAAAUCAAGGCUGAGGCGUGACGACGAGGCACCACGGUGCUGAAGCAACAAAUGCCCUGCUUCCAGGAAAAGCCUCUAAGCAUCAGGUAACACGAAAUCGUACCCCAAACCGACACAGGUGGUCAGGUAGAGAAUACCAAGGCGCUUGAGAGAACUCGGGUGAAGGAACUAGGCAAAAUGGUGCCGUAACUUCGGGAGAAGGCACGCUGACACGUAGGUGAAGUGAUUUACUCAUGGAGCUGAAGUCAGUCGAAGAUACCAGCUGGCUGCAACUGUUUAUUAAAAACACAGCACUGUGCAAACACGAAAGUGGACGUAUACGGUGUGACGCCUGCCCGGUGCCGGAAGGUUAAUUGAUGGGGUUAUCCUCGCGGAGAAGCUCCUGAUCGAAGCCCCGGUAAACGGCGGCCGUAACUAUAACGGUCCUAAGGUAGCGAAAUUCCUUGUCGGGUAAGUUCCGACCUGCACGAAUGGCGUAAUGAUGGCCAGGCUGUCUCCACCCGAGACUCAGUGAAAUUGAACUCGCUGUGAAGAUGCAGUGUACCCGCGGCAAGACGGAAAGACCCCGUGAACCUUUACUAUAGCUUGACACUGAACAUUGAGCCUUGAUGUGUAGGAUAGGUGGGAGGCUUUGAAGCGUGGACGCCAGUCUGCGUGGAGCCAACCUUGAAAUACCACCCUUUAAUGUUUGAUGUUCUAACGUGGACCCGUUACCCGGGUUGCGGACAGUGUCUGGUGGGUAGUUUGACUGGGGCGGUCUCCUCCCAAAGAGUAACGGAGGAGCACGAAGGUUGGCUAAUCCUGGUCGGACAUCAGGAGGUUAGUGCAAUGGCAUAAGCCAGCUUGACUGCGAGCGUGACGGCGCGAGCAGGUGCGAAAGCAGGUCAUAGUGAUCCGGUGGUUCUGAAUGGAAGGGCCAUCGCUCAACGGAUAAAAGGUACUCCGGGGAUAACAGGCUGAUACCGCCCAAGAGUUCAUAUCGACGGCGGUGUUUGGCACCUCGAUGUCGGCUCAUCACAUCCUGGGGCUGAAGUAGGUCCCAAGGGUAUGGCUGUUCGCCAUUUAAAGUGGUACGCGAGCUGGGUUUAGAACGUCGUGAGACAGUUCGGUCCCUAUCUGCCGUGGGCGCUGGAGAACUGAGGGGGGCUGCUCCUAGUACGAGAGGACCGGAGUGGACGCAUCACUGGUGUUCGGGUUGUCAUGCCAAUGGCACUGCCCGGUAGCUAAAUGCGGAAGAGAUAAGUGCUGAAAGCAUCUAAGCACGAAACUUGCCCC